rnacentral:rRNA from 1 species
UGGGGAAUUUUGCACAAUGGGGGAAACCCUGAUGCAGCGACGCCGCGUGAUUUAGAAGGCCUUCGGGUUGUAAAAAUCUUUUCUAUGGGAAGAAAAUGACAGUACCAUAGGAAUAAGGACCGGCUAAUUACGUGCCAGCAGCCGCGGUAAUACGUAAGGUCCGAGCGUUGUCCGGAAUCAUUGGGCGUAAAGGGUACGUAGGCGGGUAAGCAAGUUAGAAGUGAAAUCCUAUAGCUCAACUAUAGUAAGCUUUUAAAACUGCUCAUCUUGAGGUAUGGAAGGGAAGGUGGAAUUCAUAGUGUAGCGGUGAAAUGCGCAGAUAUUAGGAGGAAUACCGGUGGCGAAGGCGACUUUCUGGCCAUAACCUGACGCUGAGGUACGAAAGCGUGGGUAGCAAACAGG